rnacentral:rRNA from 1 species
GCACAAGCGGUGGAGCAUGUGGCUUAAUUCGAUGCAACGCGAAGAACCUUACCUGGGUUUGACAUGUACGGAAAUCUGGCAGAGACGUCAGGUCCGCAAGGGUCGUACACAGGUGGUGCAUGGUUGUCGUCAGCUCGUGUCGUGAGAUGUUGGGUUAAGUCCCGCAACGAGCGCAACCCUCGUCCUAUGUUGCCAGCGCGUAAUGGCGGGGACUCAUAGGAGACUGCCGGGGUCAACUCGGAGGAAGGUGGGGAUGACGUCAAAUCAUCAUGCCCCUUAAGUCCAGGGCUGCACACAUGCUACAAUGGCCGAUACAAAGGGCUGCGAUACCGCAAGGUGGAGCGAAUCCCAAAAAGUCGGUCUCAGUUCGGAUUGGGGUCUGCAACUCGACCCCAUGAAGUCGGAGUCGCUAGUAAUCGCAGAUCAGCAACGCUGCGGUGAAUACGUUCCCGGGC